GUUUUGGAUGAAUUAGUCUGUUCAUUUGUGAAUAUUAACAUACUAUGAAUUUGCAACAUUUUGUUGCAAUACGAGUUGUACCUGGUGCAUUUUUGUGGGUUAUGUUGUUUUAUUAGGCUAUAUGGGCGGUGGGUGCUUCAUCACCAUCCUAUACACAUGUGACCCCUUCUUUCUUUCUUUUGCCACAAAACUAACACAUAUCACCCUACACCGCCAACCUUCCGACAAAUCACAAAUGGCGCUUACCCAAGGGGUUCCGUUAGAUGUUAGAUGUUGGUUGAUGAUGGAAGUUAUGGUGAUAGCGAAGCUAUAGCGGUGGUGUUCAUGGUUCCAGUGGUGGUUGCGUGAGUUGUUAGGGUUUCCAAUGAGAGGGUUCCGAUAAGGAUGAUUAGAGGUCCGAUGAUGGCUUCCAAAGGCAGCAACAACGGUUUCACCUUUUCCAUGCUCAAGCUCUCAACUUGAAACAGAAGCAUCAUAAAACAAGACAAGCUUAAUUUACAAAACAAUAGGAUCAUCGAUGAUUACGAAAUGCAUGUGUUUAGGUGGUGACUCGAUCUAGAGUUCCAACGAAGUUUUUGUUAUCUGAGGGCGAUUCCGUUUACCAGGUCUAUGGUUGCAUGUGAAUUAUGGUGAUGUUCCGACCAGAUUCCGGUGAACUCUGACGACCUUGCAGAUGGCCGAUUGAGGUUACAAUGGUGGACUCUAACCUGAGAUCGAUGAACCAUGGAACCGAUGGCUCAGACAGGAGGAGCGGACGGCCACAAUAGGUUUUAUG